UUGGAAACGACUGCUAAUACUCUAUACUCCUGCUUAACACAAGUUGAGUAGGGAAAGUUUUUCGGUGUAGGAUGAGACUAUAUAGUAUCAGCUAGUUGGUAAGGUAAUGGCUUACCAAGGCUAUGACGCUUAACUGGUCUGAGAGGAUGAUCAGUCACACUGGAACUGAGACACGGUCCAGACUCCUACGGGAGGCAGCAGUAGGGAAUAUUGCGCAAUGGGGGAAACCCUGACGCAGCAACGCCGCGUGGAGGAUGACACUUUUCGGAGCGUAAACUCCUUUUCUUAGGGAAGAAUUCUGACGGUACCUAAGGAAUAAGCACCGGCUAACUCCGUGCCAGCAGCCGCGGUAAUACGGAGGGUGCAAGCGUUACUCGGAAUCACUGGGCGUAAAGGGCGCGUAGGCGGAUUAUCAAGUCUCUUGUGAAAUCUAAUGGCUUAACCAUUAAACUGCUUGGGAAACUGAUAGUCUAGAGUGAGGGAGAGGCAGAUGGAAUUGGUGGUGUAGGGGUAAAAUCCGUAGAUAUCACCAAGAAUACCCAUUGCGAAGGCGAUCUGCUGGAACUCAACUGACGCUAAGGCGCGAAAGCGUGGGGAGCAAACAGGAUUAGAUACCCUGGUAGUCCACGCCCUAAACGAUGUACACUAGUUGUUGGGGUGCUAGUCAUCUCAGUAAUGCAGCUAACGCAUUAAGUGUACCGCCUGGGGAGUACGGUCGCAAGAUUAAAACUCAAAGGAAUAGACGGGGACCCGCACAAGCGGUGGAGCAUGUGGUUUAAUUCGAAGAUACGCGAAGAACCUUACCUGGGCUUGAUAUCCUAAGAACCUUUUAGAGAUAAGAGGGUGCUAGCUUGCUAGAACUUAGAGACAGGUGCUGCACGGCUGUCGUCAGCUCGUGUCGUGAGAUGUUGGGUUAAGUCCCGCAACGAGCGCAACCCACGUAUUUAGUUGCUAACGGUUCGGCCGAGCACUCUAAAUAGACUGCCUUCGUAAGGAGGAGGAAGGUGUGGACGACGUCAAGUCAUCAUGGCCCUUAUGCCCAGGGCGACACACGUGCUACAAUGGCAUAUACAAUGAGACGCAAUACCGCGAGGUGGAGCAAAUCUAUAAAAUAUGUCCCAGUUCGGAUUGUUCUCUGCAACUCGAGAGCAUGAAGCCGGAAUCGCUAGUAAUCGUAGAUCAGCCAUGCUACGGUGAAUACGUUCCCGGGUCUUGUACUCACCGCCCGUCACACCAUGGGAGUUGAUUUCACUCGAAGCCGGAAUACUAAACUAGUUACCGUCCACAGUGGAAUCAGCGACUGGGGUGAAGUCGUAACAAGGUAACCGUAGGAGAACCUGCGGUUGGAUCACCUCCUUUCUA
rnacentral:rRNA from 1 species